CUCUGAUAAAGCUAGUGUCCAAAGGCCUACCCUUUGGUGUAAAAUAGGGCGCGAGAACAUAUAUUUGACUAAAUUUACCUUAGAAAUUAAAUAAACGGUUACGGGCCGUAAAUAAGCCCUUAAUUUUGUACAUGUGAAAUACAGUGCUAGACACAAUUUUUCAACAGUAGAGUAAUUACAUUCACAUUUCGUUAACCAUCUACUCAAAUAAUAAAUUGCCCUUUCUUCACCAAAUUGGUCUUCCUGUGCGACCAUUCCAGCUAUUGAUUCCUUUUCAGCCGAUACAUACACUUUCAUUGGCCGUCCCUGGAUUGGUGACACCAAUACUGGUGGACUUGAUAGAUAUGUCUUCAGGCUUUCAAAAGCCUUUUGAUGUUCUUCUUUCCAGACGAAUUCGUCCUGAUUUUUCAGCUUUAAUAGCGGCGAAAAAACCUUAGUUCGCCCUGCACAGUUAGAGAUGAAGCGUCUUAGAAAAUUUAUUUGGCCUAGAAACCUUUGCAACUCCUUUUUAUUGCUAGGUGGUUUGGCUUCUAGGAUGGCCUUCGCUUUAUUUUUAUCAAGUUCAAUCCCUCUCUUGUGUACUAAAAAACCAAGAAAAUUCCCUGCAUUAACACCAAAUGCACACUUCAAGGGAUUCAACUUUAGCUUAUAUUGCCUCAUUCGUUCAAACGAACAUUUUAACUGUUCGAAAUGGUCUUUUUCUUUAAUAGAUUUGACCACUAUGUCGUCCACAUACACUUCAACAAACUUGCCUAUCAUGUCGUGAAAGAUUAAAUUCAUUGCCCUUUGAUAAGUUGCCCCUGCAUUUUUUAGGCCGAAAGGCAUGACCACCCAUUCAAAACAUCCUAGAGACCCAGGGCAUCUAAAGGCAGUUUUGUGUAUGUCUUCUUCAGCUAUAUAAAUUUGAUUGUAUCCUGAAUACCCAUCCAUGAAAGAAUACAUGACAUGUCCGGCAGUUGAAUCUACUAAAGAAUCUACCGUGGGCAUUGGAUACUCAUCUUUGGGUGUAGCUAUAUUCAAAUUUCUAAAGUCUAUACACACCCUUAGUUUACCAUUCUUUUUUAAUACUGGCACAAUGUUUGACAACCAUUCGACAUAUCUGGCUGUCCUUAUAAAACCUGCUUUCAAUAAUCGCUCUAUCUCUUUCUUAAUCUCAGGGAGUACAUUAGGAGCAAAACGCCUA
rnacentral:lncRNA from 1 species